AGGUUCCUGAUCCUGCCGUGGGUCUGUAGUUACAGUUCUGGAAACUUCUCUGGGGUCCAGGACUACGGGGUUCCUUUAGGACCUCAUGGCCCUGCCUCCUUCCUGGCUUCUCACAUGAUGUUUUCUUCCCACAGGUGGAAAAGGAGGGAGCUAUGCUCAGGCUGCAAGUGGUGACAGUGCCCAAGGCUCUGAUGUGUCUCUCACGGCUUCUAAAGCGUGAGACAGCUGCCUUGUGGGAGACUGAGUGAUGCAAGAUGUGUUCAUACCCCCACUUUGUGACUUCAGGAACCUCUGACCUCUCUUUCUGCAAAGGGCAUCUGAAUGUGUCUGCGUUCCUCUCAGCAUCCUGUGCAGAGGUGGGAGACUGCACGCCCCCUGCCCUCCACGCCCCCUCCCUGCACCGACUGAGCCUCUUCCCUGACCCACUGUCCUGUUCCAGCAGAGGCUGUUUCCAUCCCCGCUUUUACUUCAUGUUACUCUGAAUGGCAACUAAUUACUUCCUUUUGAAAUAAGAAUCUGGAUGUGAAUCUGUUUUUUCAGUUCUUGCCAUGAAAGGUUGAUGGGUUAAUUAAAGGAGAAAAUCCUAAAUUUUGAGAGGAAAUAAAUGGAAUCACUAAGAACCUUCCAGAA